UCCAUUUCCUCCAAGAGUAGACAGAGGGGUCCAAGUUCUGUCUGCCUAGGAUGGCCAGCUAAGAAUCAGGACCUUUAAAACUCUUUCUACACCUGAGGCUCAGAGCCACUCACCAUCCUGGGGGCAGGGCCUAGGGCUUCCUAAGGGGGUCAGUUUGAGACUUCCUCAUUCCCCUUCCCUCUCUAAUCUACAGUGUACCUUACCAUACUGAAGGUCCUAAGAAGUCCUCAAGUACAGAAACCUCUCUCUUAGACUUACUUGACCCAGAAAUUAGAUAGAACAGUGUAGGUAGCCCUGCUCUGAGUGAAAUGCUGUUCUUCAGAGCUCUCCUUUGGAGUCCCACCCACUUCCUCACACGUUUGGCUAUGUCACAAAGGAUCACCCACUCUGGGACGCUUUGAUCCCAGAGCCUGUCAGGGUUGUUAUCUGGCUUGGUUUUGUUUUAAAAGAUUUUAAGUAACCUCUACACCCAACAUGGGGCUUAACUCACAACCCUGAGAUCAAGAGUUGGAUGCUCUACCAACUGAGCCAGCCAGGCACCCCAGGAUUGUUGUCUGUCAUGCUCUACUGGCUAUUAACUGAAGGAUGAAGAGUAGUCCUUCACUGCCUCUGGAGUCCAAACAUGAGGAAACAAAGGAUGAUGAAAAUGUUUCAGAACUAGAUAGAGGUGGUGGUCGCACAUCGACGUUAAUUGGAUUAAAUACCACUGCAUUGUUCACAUUAAAAUGGUUAGUUUUCUGUUAUGGGAAUUCCACCUCAAUAAAAAAAAAUACAAAACAACAAUUUUAUGUGUGAAGCACUGCUGACAGUUGGAACCUACAGCCUUGGGGACCAGUCCUCUCUUCUAGCCAGAGAAAUCUGGAAGUUCAUGAAGGCGUUUUUCCUUGAUCGUCCCUCCUCAGAACCACUUUUGCUGGUUUCGAACACUGGAAGACGAACAGGGACUGGGAAAAACGGUAGGAUAUACUCCUACGAUGGAACACCAUCAGCACAGUGAAGAACGUGAGAGCUGUUUUUAUACGUUGUACUUGCAGGGAUGAUGCACAAAGAAAGCAUGAUGUACAAAACCGGUAGAACACGGUGCCUUUUAUUAAGGAAGAGGAAGAAAACAGUCUACUUGUGCAUGUAUGUAAUUUACCGGAACCAUCUAAACACUGGUCAUAUCCAAUUGCUUCUG